rnacentral:rRNA from 1 species
GAUAAGCUUCAUCAAGCUAUCGGUUGUCCACCUGGACUUGCAAUCUGUUCGGAUGCAGGAAAAGGGGUUGAUAGUGCAAUUGAAGAGGUGUAUAAGUAUGCUAAAGAUAGGGAAUGCAUGCACCACUUGGUUGUCAACUUUAAGAAAAAAAUUCAUGGUAAAGUAUUUGAUGACCAUAUGUGGCCAGCAGCUUAUUCAUGGACUCUAGAAGCUUUCAGAGCCCACAUGGCAGCCAUAGAAGAGAAAAAACCUAAAGCAAUAGUGUACUUGACAAGAUACCAUAGUAGGCUUUGGUCCAGGAGAAAAUUUUCCACUUCCUCAAAGGUAGAUUAUGUGACAAACAAUUUGGCCGAGUGCUUCAACAAUUGGAUCAACAAGCACAAGGGCAUGAUGUUGUUUCAGUUGGUGGACAAAAUCAUAAGGAAGAUACUAGUCAAGAUGGAGAAGAGGAGGAUUGCCAAAAAAUUGGAAGGCCACUAUAUACUACCUAGUGUCAUGAAGGAGUUGAAUGCAAAGAGUAGAGGGUUGGACAUAGAGUAUGAGAGAUUACACAUGAAUGCAGAGGUGAGUGAGGGUGGUGAAGAUGGCAAGCGACAUGUUGUGGAUCUGGACAUGAGGACAUGCACAUGUGGAGAAUUCCAAGUAUCAGGGAAGCCUUGCAAGCAUGCCAUUUCCUUCAUCACCAGAAUUAGGGGGGUCACUAUAGAAGACUUUGUUGAUGAUUACUAUAGUGUUGCCAAGUUCAUAGCAGCAUAUACUCCCGUAAUGUCGGGGCUUACUUAUGCAUCACAAUGGCCAAAGAAAACCCAUGAAUUCUUUUUACACCCUCCAAUCCUUCGAAGGGCUCCGAGGACGCCAAAAGUAGAGAGGCACAAGAGUGGUGCUGAGCAAAGCAAGAGCAAGAGAAGAAAAGGACAACAUCAAUGCCUAAUUUGCAAAGACUAUGGUCAUAGAUGGCAAGGUUGCAAAAAUGUUGAUCCAGAUGCAAAAGAAGCGCAUACUGAUGUCGCAAAAGAGAGAAGGUAA